GCAACCCCGCCGCCACCCACACCCACCCACCACUGUCACCGUAGCCUCGUCUCCUCCCCUCGAUCCACCCUCGCGCCGGCACCGCAGCCUCGUCUCCACGACCUCGUACCGUCCACGCUUGCUCCGCAGCGCCUCUGACGACCGCGCCCGGAGCGCGACGGCGCCGCCGUUCCGAGCACUUACGGCGUCGGCCCGGCCCCCAAAACCCUCGCGGCGGCCACGCAUCCCUCCAUCGUUCGCUGUUGCCGCCGCCGCCACGCGAUGCCCGUGGGAAUCUGAUCCAUGUCUCACCCCCACGCCUGCGCCCCCAAGCGUCGUCCUAGGGUUCUGUUCUGCGACUGACCGGAGUCCAAGCCAUGGCGCGGAAGAUGCUCAAGGACGGGGAGACGCCCGUCGUCGCUGACGGCGGGGGCGUGGAGAUCUACAACUGCGACCUGUUCGUCUGAGAUCCACCGCCUUCGUCCGUCGAGCACAUGAGGACCUUGGAACCAUGGCGACCAUGACCAGCGAAAAAUGGGGCCACCGGGUUCAGCAUCACCAACUGACCAUCAGCCCUUGGCGCUUGCUCAGGAUGCUCCGACGAUCACCAGAAUUCCCUUUAGAGCCAUACUUCAUUUUUUGCUUGGUAUGCUGCUGGUCUGAAUCUACCUACAUGCUUGACAGAAUUUAACUUGGUGCUGAAACAAGCACUCGGUUGGGGCCUCCUGGGCGAUGCCUACGACCGCUGCGGCGAGGUCUGCGCCUAGUAGGCCACCUUCUACUUUGGUGAGCCCAUCACACCCCAUCCGUAAAUCACUACUCUGCAACUCUGCUGACAGUAGCUAAACAUCUCAAUACAUUCAGUCCAAAAUUGCAAAGAGCAAUUUAGCGCAGGGUCAACUAUUGCCACUACCUAAGCAGCAACUCUUUUGCUGCAGAAUACUCACGAGAGGAUGACUAUUUAGUCAGGCAACCAACCUGAAGCUACUGUAGAUAUAUGAAUAUUUGGCUACUGCAAAUGGAGUAGUCUAACCAUGAAAUGGUUGCUGCUGUAGUACUCCAACCAGCCUGAAGCUAUAUGAAGUCUAACCAACAACUGUAGUGCUCCAGCCUGAAGCUAUUCUAAGAUAGAAUCUGGACGCCCUUCCCUGGUCGACGACACCCUUCCGUCGUGGGCUCUCAGUAGGACGGCGACCCACAAGAUCCACACCCUUGUGGCCCUGUGACCCUCAAGCUCGACGGCUAGAUCCCCUAUGGCCAAGCCCUUUUGCUCGAGAGUCAAGUCCCAGUCCGACUUCCUUGCUUCCCAGCUGCUCCUUCAGUCCGGCUUCAGCAGCUCACUUCUCACCACGGUUCAGCACCUCUAGAAACCAGGAAAUGAAAGAUCGCUCGACAAACGGCCGCUUCGAGUCAGUUGGAUCUGAUCUUAUACUCGCACACGAGAGCUAUAAUAGUAGCGCAUCUGGUAGUGCGCCAUUACAAUGUCCAACAGUGCGCCAUUACUAUCUGACUUAGUAAUGGCGCACCACAUAUCUGAUGCGCCAUUACUAACAAUUUCUUUUUCAGAAAAUAUUUUUUCAGAAUUUUUUUCCAAAUAUUUUAGUAAUGGCGCACCACAUAUCUGGUGCGCCAUUACUAACAAUUUUUUUUCAAAUUUUUUUUCAGAAUUUUUUUUUUCAAUUUUUUUUCAGAAUUUUUUUUGUUUUUUUCUUAAUCUCGGGUCACUAUGGCUUAAUCUUGGGUCAAUAUACUUAAUCUCAAGUCAAAUCGCACUCCGUGGUCAAACUUGCCGGAAGGUCACCCAUCCUCACACUACUCUAGCCCGAGCACGCUUAACUUCGCAGUUCUAUCCAACCCCAGCACCACCUCACUUAAUAGGCACUUGUUGAUGUCUAUGACUUUGUUCAUGUUUAUGAAUGUGAUGAAAUUUUGAAAAAAUAUUUCAAACUUCCCGGUCAUAUUACGUAUCAUAUUUUGAA